CNCCUGCCACCAUUUCCAGGUCAACAGGAC
rnacentral:piRNA from 1 species